rnacentral:rRNA from 1 species
GACGAACGCUGGCGGCGUGCUUAACACAUGCAAGUCGUACGGUAAGGCCCUUUCUGGGGUACACGAGUGGCGAACGGGUGAGUAACACGUGCGUAACCUACCCACACCUUUGGGAUAACGCUAGGAAACUGGUUCUGAUACUGGAUAUGUACUCCUGCUGCAUGGUGGGGGUUGGAAAGAUCCGGGCGUUGUGGAUGGACUCGCGGGCUAUCUGCUUGUUGGUGGGGUAGUGGCCUACCAAGGCGGCGUCGGGGGGCCGGCCUGGGGGGGUGAACCGCCACAUUGGGGCCUAGGUACGGCCCAGGAUCCCAAGGGGGGGCACAGUGGGGAAUAUUGCACAAUGGGCGCAAGGCUGAUGCAGCAAAGCCGCGUGCCGGAUGACGGGCUUCGGGUUGGAAACCGGUUUCAGCAGGGACGAAGCUUUGUGUGACGGUAACUGCAGAAGAAGCACCGGCUAACUACGUG